rfam:Dorea sp. CAG:105 genomic scaffold, scf31
UGAUACCAAGGUCAAAAGGUCGAAAGCCGCAUGAGCUUGCUCAUAAGUGGCUGUAUGACCUUGGGACCUGCCCCAAUAUGAGCAUAAAAGUGGGAUUGUGAUCCCACGAUAUGCGAAUAGUGGGCAGAAUUGUGAGAGUGCGCAGCACGGAACAAUUCGUGGGUAUCA